GAUGAACGCUAGCGGCAGGCUUAAUACAUGCAAGUCGAGGGGCAACAGGGGGAAGCAAUACCUGCUGGCGACCGGCAAACGGGUGUGGAGCACGUACAGAACCUUCCUCUGAGUGGGGGAUAGCCCGGAGAAAUCCGGAUUAAUACCCCAUAGUAUUAUUGUGUGGCAUCACAUAAUAAUUAAAGAUUUAUUGCUUAGAGAUGGCUGUGCGGCUGAUUAGGUAGUUGGCGGGGUAAAGGCCCACCAAGCCAGCGAUCAGUAACCGGUGUGAGAGCACGACCAGUCACACGGGCACUGAGACACGGGCCCGACUCCUACGGGAGGCAGCAGUAAGGAAUAUUGGUCAAUGGACGCAAGUCUGAACCAG
rnacentral:rRNA from 1 species